AGAGAAAUAAAAGAGAAAAUAUCAGAGUGCAUCCAACAUACUGGAGCAACCACACUGCAGUCCUCUUGGCCACAGCGGGAAGACAGCAGGCCUACCAAGUGGGAGAAGGAAUCGAACACCAGUGGAACUGCAGGACAUGGCCAACUGUCAACUUGGAACUUUGUAAUCAAUAAAAGUACCCUUGAAGAAUGAAAGCAAAAUGAAGACAUUCCAAGCUAACAAAGUAGAGGGUCUGCCUCCAACAGAGCUGCAGUACAGAUGGAAAGCAAUCCAGAAAAAAGAUCGAAGGAAAGAAUGAAGAACACUUGUGGUGCAAAACAUAAUAAAAAUGUCUGCCAGGCUUAAAAUAACAAGAUGAACAACAAAAUAAGGGGGAGAGGAUGUGAGGUUAGUGUAUUCAAAUAUCCUUGCAUGAUGUGAAGGAUGGUAAAGCUAUUCACUAAUUUUGGACUUUAAUAAGUUAAUUGUGAAUGUCAAAAUACCUAAGGUAAAAAUUAUUAGACUAGAAAUAGAAAUCCCACACUUGUACAAAGGAAAAAAAAAAGGAAUUCUAUAACAGUAUUUCACCAGUACAAAAGAAGCCAAAGAUGAAUAGAACUAGAAGAAAAGGCAAAAUAUAAAGCACAAAA